CCUACGGGCGGCAGCAGUAGGGAAUCUUGCACAAUGGGCGAAAGCCUGAUGGAGCAACGCCGCGUGGGUGAAGAAGGUCUUCGGAUCGUAAAACCCUGUUGUUAGAGAAGAAAGUGCGGGAGAGUAACUGUUCACGUGUCGACGGUAUCUAACCAGAAAGCCACGGCUAACUACGUGCCAGCAGCCGCGGUAAUACGUAGGUGGCAAGCUUUAUCCGGAUUUAUUGGGCGUAAAGGGAACGGAGGCGGUCUUUUAAGUCUGAUGUGAAAGCCUUCGGCUUAACCGGAGUAGUGCAUUGGAAACUGGGAGACUUGAGUGCAGAAGAGGAGAGUGGAACUCCAUGUGUAGCGGUGAAAUGCGUAGAUAUCUGGAAGAACACCAGUGGCGAAGGCGGCUCUCUGGUCUGUAACUGACGCUGAGGUUCGAAAGCGUGGGUAGCAAACAGGAUUAGAUACCCCGGUAGUC
rnacentral:rRNA from 1 species